rnacentral:rRNA from 1 species
CCUACGGGAGGCAGCAGUGGGGAAUCUUGCGCAAUGGGCGAAAGCCUGACGCAGCCAUGCCGCGUGAAUGAUGAAGGUCUUAGGAUUGUAAAAUUCUUUCACCGGGGACGAUAAUGACGGUACCCGGAGAAGAAGCCCCGGCUAACUUCGUGCCAGCAGCCGCGGUAAUACGAAGGGGGCUAGCGUUGCUCGGAAUUACUGGGCGUAAAGGGAGCGUAGGCGGAUAGUUUAGUCAGAGGUGAAAGCCCAGGGCUCAACCUUGGAAUUGCCUUUGAUACUGGCUAUCUUGAGUAUGGGAGAGGUAUGCGGAACUCCGAGUGUAGAGGUGAAAUUCGUAGAUAUUCGGAAGAACACCAGUGGCGAAGGCGGCAUACUGGCCCAUUACUGACGCUGAGGCUCGAAAGCGUGGGGAGCAAACAGGAUUAGAUACCCUGGUAGUCCACGCUGUAAACGAUGAGUGCUAGUUGUCGGCAUGCAUGCAUGUCGGUGACGCAGCUAACGCAUUAAGCACUCCGCCUGGGGAGUACGGUCGCAAGAUUAAAACUUAAAGGAAUUGACGGCUGAGACGNGCGAGACGACGACGAGGGAGAGG